GAUGAACGCUGGCGGCGUGCUUAACACAUGCAAGUCGAACGGAAAGGCCCAAGCUUGCUUGGGUACUCGAGUGGCGAACGGGUGAGUAACACGCGGGUGAUCUGCCCUGCACUUCGGGAUAAGCCUGGGAAACUGGGUCUAAUACCGGAUAGGACGAUGGUUUGGAUGCCAUUGUGGAAAGUUUUUUCGGUGUGGGAUGAGCUCGCGGCCUAUCAGCUUGUUGGUGGGGUAAUGGCCUACCAAGGCGUCGACGGGUAGCCGGCCUGAGAGGGUGUACGGCCACAUUGGGACUGAGAUACGGCCCAGACUCCUACGGGAGGCAGCAGUGGGGAAUAUUGCACAAUGGGCGCAAGCCUGAUGCAGCGACGCCGCGUGGGGGAUGACGGCCUUCGGGUUGUAAACUCCUUUCGCUAGGGACGAAGCGUUUUUGUGACGGUACCUGGAGAAGAAGCACCGGCUAACUACGUG
rnacentral:rRNA from 1 species